AGGGGGUAUUCUGGUUGCCUUACCCAGCUCUGAAGUCUGUCAGCCUCUUCAGAUGUCACUUGCCCUGUGGUAAGGAAGUGUAGUUGGCAGCUGGUGCAGUGGCAAGAAGAGAAAGGAAGUUCCCCAAGACAGAAACAUCUCGGCAGAUGGAAUUCGCUGUUUCGCCCAGGCUGGAGUGAAGUGGCGCGAUGUGGGCUCACUGCAACCUCCGCCCCCAGGGUUCAAGGGAUUCUCCUGCCUCAGCCACCAUGAUUUAACACUGAGAAGUAGGCAGUCACAGAGAAAAAGUUUGGAAUAGUUCACCAGUGAAGUCAUCUCAACCAGCACAGGGCCUUGACUCCUAACAACAAUCACACGAACUUGGAAGAGGAUCCUUCCCCAGCUGAAACUUCACUUGAGACCUUCUCAUUGGCCAUCAUCGACAUCUGGAUUCAUGAUACAGAGAAACUUGAGUAAUGAUGACAAUAGCAGUCCAGCCUGCAUGGAUGCUGACAUGGAUGCUGUCUCCCAUUCUUACCACUGGAUGUCAAGAACUGCUAGAUGCGAUCCAGCCAGUCUGUACUCGACUCUCAGUUCCAUCUUCUCAACUCACAGUGUCUUCCAAAGUCCAUGCCACACCACAGCCUGGAAGAUCUCCCAAGGCUUUGAAUAACUCACCAGUGAAGUCAUCUUGACCUGGACAGAAAUUGAAUCCUCCCAAGAAUCCCAGGAGCUUGGAAGGGGAUCCUUCCCCAGAUGAGCCUUCCCUUGAAAUCUCUGCCAGGCAUCUGACCCAGAGAAACUAAUGUUUCAGAACAAAGUCACUAACACAACAUGCAUUUAAGAAGUGGGGAGUCAUGGGCUAAGCACGAUGGCUCUCGCCUGUAAUCCCAGCACUGUUGGUGGCUGAGACAGGCUGAUCAUCUGAGGUCAGGAGUUCGAGACCAGUCUGGCCAACAUGGGGAAAGCUCAUCUCUAUUAAAAAUACAAAAAU
rnacentral:lncRNA from 1 species